rnacentral:misc_RNA from 1 species
GCCGAACAAAAAUGGAGGACGACAAGAACAAGCAAAGAAAAUUCCUUCUUCUCUUCUUCUUCUCCUUCACCUUCAACGCUGUUUUAUUACCCACGUGCCAAUCUUUCAACUACGCUGAAGCUCUUUCCAAGAGUCUACUCUAUUUAGAAUCCCAACGCUCCGGCCGCUUACCUUACAAUCAAAGAGUCACUUGGCGCCACCAUUCUGCCCUCACCGAUGGCCUUGAACAAGGAGUGGACUUGGUUGGAGGAUACUACGAUGCAGGUGAUAACGUCAAAUUUGGUCUGCCCAUGGCUUUCACCGUCACAAUGCUUGCCUGGGGUGUUAUCCAAUACGGAAAACAAAUUUCCGUCGCCGGCGAGUACCAGCAUGCCCUUGAAGCUAUCAAGUGGGGCACGGAUUACUUCAUCAAGGCACACACUCACCCAAAUGUCUUGUGGGUUCAGGUGGGUGAUGGCUACACCGAUCAUUACUGCUGGCAACGGCCAGAAGACAUGACGACGUCUCGGCAAGCCUACAAAGUGGAUGAAAAGAACCCUGGGUCGGAUGUCGCCGGAGAGACUGCGGCGGCAUUGGCAGCAGCAUCAAUCGUAUUCAGGAGAACAAACCCACAUUAUUCCUACCUACUAUUGCAUCAUGCAAAAGAAUUGUUCGAGUUUGGAGACAAGCACAGAGGAAAAUAUGAUGAGAGUGUGCAGGUGGUGAAGGGUUACUAUUCGUCGGUGAGUGGGUACAAGGAUGAGUUGUUAUGGGCUGCCUUGUGGCUAUACAAGGCCACCGACAAUGAGGCUUAUUUGAUGUAUGCGUUAAAGAAUGCUCAUGGAUUUGGUGGGAUCACUUGGGCCAUCUCUGAAUUUAGCUGGGAUGUCAAGU